UGCGCAGGCGGGCUUGUAAGUCAGUGGUGAAAUCCUGCGGCUCAACCGUAGAACUGCCAUUGAUACUGAUGUUCUUGAAUAUAGUUGAGGUAGGCGGAAUGUGUAAUGUAGCGGUGAAAUGCUUAGAUAUUACACAGAACACCGAUUGCGAAGGCAGCUUACUAAACUAUUAUUGACGCUGAGGUACGAAAGCGUGGGGAGCGAACAGGAUUAGAUACCCUGGUAGUCC
rnacentral:rRNA from 1 species